rnacentral:rRNA from 1 species
AUGGUUUUGUUUGCUGCAACUUCCCAAGACGCCUGGACAACCCUAGAGAGUAGUUUCUCCUCCCAAUCCACGGCGCGCUCCAUGGCUCUUCGUCGGCAACUUCAGGAUAUUAAGAAGCUUGAUCUCUCGGCCACCGUCUACUUCAACAAAGUUAAAACCCUAGCCGAUACUCUUGCUGCCAUCGGGAAGCCUCUAGGCGAUGAGGAGUUCACCGGAUUUAUUCUGGGUGGUUUGGAUGGUGAUUAUGACUCGCUGAUCGAGGUUGUCCAAGGACGCGACACUCCGAUGCCUCCUCGCGAUCUUUAUGCUCGACUUCUUCAGACUGAGCAACGCAUUGAGUCUCGACGAUCGGUUGAGGUUCAUGGUGGUUUCUCCAUAGCUAAUGAUGUGACUCGUGGCGGUCCACGACAACCCUACCGCACCGGUGGGAACAUGUCUUCUUCGUCGGGUGGCAAGGCAAUUCUUCCCUCGCCAUCACAACAGCAGCAGAGCUUCACCAACAACAAGUCUGGAUCCUCCUGCCCUACGUGUGGUCGUCCUAACGGCGGUCGCCCCACGUGCCAGCUCUGUGGGUUUCAGGGGCAUGUUGCAUCUCGCUGCCACAAACGCUUUAAGCGUGAUUUUCUAGGGAUCGGCAAUGAUGGACGCAACAAUGAGAGGCAGGCUGCCAUGGCUACUCAAGGACCCAUUGGCUCUGGUGGUUCUGGCCACGGGCACACUCCCUCCUACCCCAUUGAUUCAAGCUGGUACAUGGAUACUGCAGCUACGGAUCACAUGACCAGUGAGAUGGACAAGUUACACUCAAGCCAACCCUACCUCGGCCAUGACAAGGUUCACGUUGCAAACGGGUCAGGAUCGCGCAACGAGGGACGUUCUUCUUAG